AGGAGCCACAAAGCUUGUCCCGCUAAUGAAACAGCGACGCUUUUGCUCCGGCACACACUAGGCUUGUCCAGAAGUACAGAUGGGAAAAAGCUGGCAUAGUAUUCAGUCGUAAGGAGCCGCCUAUCUGUUGCUGUGGUGACUGUACUGUGAUUUUUAUCUUCAGUAUGAGAAGAUGUAAUGUCUCUGCUCUGAUAGACCCUGGAUUAUCUCACUCGUCCCGUAAAUCUUCAGGUCAGCUCAAAGCACACUUUCUGAAACGGACUCUUGUGCAUGUUUAAAAUCACUCACUGAGAAGAACCACUUAGUCAUUGAUAUACAUUUGGUGAGAAAUGUCUCCAUAAGCCUUCGCGGAUGUGAGAAUUAGUUUUGUUCUUUGCAUUUGCGCCAAAGUAGGAAAGCUUUAUGGUUUUUGUUGAUGUGCUGAUCUGAUUUGUCAGCGUUUUCUCAACAAUUGCUUUGCCAGAAUGUUUUGUUUUUGAAGUUCUGGAUGGUUUCUAGGUGGUUGAUUGUGGCCCAUUUCUGAAAAGUCUAUAUCCAUAUAAAAGUCUUAUCUCUCUUUUACUCUAGAUACACUGUAUGCACCUCUUUUUAGUGUUUAUUGGUUGUUGCAAAAUCUGAUCAAUUAAAAAAUGUAAUUGUACAAUCAUAUAGACGUAGACAAACAUUGUUGUCAGUUGAAUUAAGUUUGGUACUUCAAUACCUUGAUUGCAGUGUACACUACACAAAUCAUAUAUUCAUACUAAAAUGACUUCUGAAUUAUUUCAGUUUCAGUCAACUAAAUCUAGAGUAAAAAUUUAGUUGACUAAAAUAUAUUUGGUUUAAUUUAAGUGUAAUUUUCAAUGGAAGAUGAUUUAAUCGCAUCCCGCAACUACUGUGGUUCAGUUACUUUUCAAAUGUUUGUUUGUGUGUGUUUG